AGCGAACGCUGGCGGCGUGCCUAACACAUGCAAGUCGAACGUGAAAAGGGAAACCUGAGUAAAGUGGCGUACGGGUGAGUAACGCGUAGGUAAUCUACCCCAGAAUCUGGAAUAACCUGCCGAAAGGCGGGCUAAUACUGGAUAGAGCGAGGGAACUCGUAAGAGAGUUUUUCGGGAAAGGGAGCCCGCAAGGGCCUUCGUUCUGGGAUGAGCCUGCGUCUCAUUAGCUAGUUGGUAAGGUAACGGCUUACCAAGGCGAUGAUGAGUAGCUGGUCUGAGAGGAUGAUCAGCCACACUGGAACUGAAACACGGUCCAGACUCCUACGGGAGGCAGCAGUGGGGAAUCUUGCGCAAUGGACGAAAGUCUGACGCAGCCACGCCGCGUGAGUGAAGAAGGCCUUCGGGUUGUAAAGCUCUGUCGGAUGGGACGAACAUCUUCAUAGUGAAUAGCUAUGAGGACUGACGGUACCAUCAAAGGAAGCACCGGCUAACUCCGU
rnacentral:rRNA from 1 species